GUGCUCACUUCAGCAGCACAUAUACUAAAAUUGGAAAGAUACAAAGAAGAUUGGCAUGACCCCUGUGCAAGGAUGACAUGCAAAUUCUUGAAGUGUUCCAUAUUUUU
ensembl:snRNA U6 U6 spliceosomal RNA